CUUCGGUACAUCGGUGACAGGUGGUGGCAUGGUUGUCGUCAGCUCGUGUCGUGAGAUGUUGGGUUAAGUCCCGCAACGAGCGCAACCCCUAUUGUUAGUUGCCAUCAUUCAGUUGGGCACUCUAGCGAGACUGCCGGUAAUAAACCGGAGGAAGGUGGGGAUGACGUCAAAUCAUCAUGCCCCUUAUGACCUGGGCUACACACGUGCUACAAUGGUUGGUACAACGAGUUGCGAGUCGGUGACGGCGAGCUAAUCUCUUAAAGCCAAUCUCAGUUCGGAUUGUAGGCUGCAACUCGCCUACAUGAAGUCGGAAUCGCUAGUAAUCGCGGAUCAGCACGCCGCGGUGAAUACGUUCCCGGGCCUU
rnacentral:rRNA from 1 species